rnacentral:rRNA from 1 species
CCUACGGGGGGCAGCAGUGAGGAAUAUUGGUCAAUGGACGAGAGUCUGAACCAGCCAAGUAGCGUGAAGGAUGACUGCCCUAUGGGUUGUAAACUUCUUUUAUAUGGGAAUAAAAUGUUCCACGUGUGGGAUUUUGUAUGUACCAUAUGAAUAAGGAUCGGCUAACUCCGUGCCAGCAGCCGCGGUAAUACGGAGGAUCCGAGCGUUAUCCGGAUUUAUUGGGUUUAAAGGGAGCGUAGGUGGAUUGUUAAGUCAGUUGUGAAAGUUUGCGGCUCAACCGUAAAAUUGCAGUUGAAACUGGCAGUCUUGAGUACAGUAGGGGUGGGCGGAAUUCGUGGUGUAGCGGUGAAAUGCUUAGAUAUCACGAAGAACUCCGAUUGCGAAGGCAGUUCACUGGACUGCAACUGACACUGAGGCUCGAAAGUGUGGGUAUCAAACAGGAUUAGAUACCCCUGUAGUC